rnacentral:rRNA from 1 species
UACGUAGGGUGCGAGCGUUGUCCGGAAUUACUGGGCGUAAAGAGCUCGUAGGUGGUUUGUCGCGUCGUCUGUGAAAUUCCGGGGCUUAACUUCGGGCGUGCAGGCGAUACGGGCAAUACUUGAGUGCUAUAGGGGAGACUGGAAUUCCUGGUGUAGCGGUGGAAUGCGCAGAUAUCAGGAGGAACACCGAUGGCGAAGGCAGGUCUCUGGGCAGUAACUGACGCUGAGGAGCGAAAGCAUGGGUAGCGAACAGGAUUAGA